ensembl:lncRNA
UUUAUGGGCUGAUGUGGACAUGUGUCCAGAGGAAGCUCGGGCAUUUCCCUACGUGCCGGCUUUUCUCGUACACAGUCGCUGAUCAAGUUCCACUCUCCUGCGCAGCUCCGCGCUGGUGUCUGACUGUCUGAAGCAGGCGUUCAUCUCAGGGCGAUGCUGUCACUCAGAAAGCAUCCUCCUCUGUGUUUGCUCUUUCUGCUUGUCAUGCCAGCUUUGCUACAGAAACCCUCCGAUUCCGAAUGGGAUAUAUGGAGAAAACGCUGCUGGUAUCAGCGGAAAUCGGUGUCGUUAGCCAGAGUUGAGCUUGUCGUGUUACCGGGCAGCCAGGACUCGGAAGGGGGAGUGAAAGAGGGAACUGAUGUGAGUUUGAGGUGUUCACUGAUCCGCUGCAGAUUUCUGGAAGAAAUGGCGGACAGAUUCCUCUGGUUCCAAAAUGGCUUACGUUUACCCUACACCACCAGCCAAAUCCAGCUGGCCUCCGUCAGCGGCCAGGAUUCUGGCACCUACACCUGCGGUGUAACAGGAUAUGUUGAAACCUCUCUUCCUGUCACUCUCAAUGUCAGAUGUAAGAACACA